CUGCUGGGCCAUCACUGACGCUCAUGGACGAAAGCCAGGGGAGCGAAAGGGAUUAGAUACCCCCUGUAGUCCUGGCCGUAAACGAUGAACACUAGGUGUCGGGGGAAUCGACCCCCCUCGGUGUCGUAGCCAACGCGUUAAGUGUUCCGCCUGGGGAAUACGCACGCAAGUGUGAAACUCAAAGGAAUUGACGGGGGCCCGCACAAGCGGUGGAGUAUGUGGUUUAAUUCGAUGCAACGCGAAGAACCUUACCAGGGUUUGACAUCCUGCGAAUCUCUUGGAAACAGGAGAGUGCCUUCGGGAACGCAGUGACAGGUGGUGCAUGGCUGUCGUCAGCUCGUGUCGUGAGAUGUUGGGUUAAGUCCCGCAACGAGCGCAACCCACGUCUUUAGUUGCCAGCAUUUAGUUGGGCACUCUAGAGAGACUGCCGGUGAUAAACCGGAGGAAGGUGUGGAUGACGUCAAGUCAUCAUGCCCCUUACAUCCUGGGCUACACACGUACUACAAUGCUACGGACAAAGGGCAGCAAGUUCGCGAGGACAAGCAAAUCCCAUAAACCGUGGCUCAGUUCAGAUCGUAGGCUGCAGCUCGCCUACGUGAAGGCGGAAUCGCUAGUAAUCGCAGGUCAGCAUACUGCGGUGAAUACGUUCCCGGGCCUUGUACACACCGCCCGUCACACCAUGGAAGUUGGCCACGCCCGAAGCCGUUACUCCAACCCUUGUGGAGGAGGACGUCGAAGGUGGGGCUGAUGACUGGGGUGAAGUCGUAACAAGGUAACC
rnacentral:rRNA from 1 species